UUUUAUGGAGAGUUUGAUCCUGGCUCAGGAUGAACGCUGGCGGCGUGCCUAAUACAUGCAAGUCGAGCGAACGGACGAGAAGCUUGCUUCUCUGAUGUUAGCGGCGGACGGGUGAGUAACACGUGGAUAACCUACCUAUAAGACUGGGAUAACUUCGGGAAACCGGAGCUAAUACCGGAUAAUAUUUUGAACCGCAUGGUUCAAAAGUAAAAGACGGUCUUGCUGUCACUUAUAGAUGGAUCCGCGCUGCAUUAGCUAGUUGGUAAGGUAACGGCUUACCAAGGCAACGAUGCAUAGCCGACCUGAGAGGGUGAUCGGCCACACUGGAACUGAGACAC
rnacentral:rRNA from 1 species